rnacentral:tRNA from 1 species
CCUCUCGUGGCUUAGUGGUCAAGACAUCGGUGCGUAAAGCGAAAGGUCCCGGGUUCGAAUCCCGGCGAGGGUA